UUAGUGGCGGACGGGUGAGUAACGCGUGGAUAACCUGCCGUAUACUGGGGGAUAACACUUAGAAAUAGGUGCUAAUACCGCAUAAGCGCACAGUCUCGCAUGAGACGGUGUGAAAAACUCCGGUGGUAUACGAUGGAUCCGCGUCUGAUUAGCUUGUUGGCGGGGUAACAGCCCACCAAGGCGACGAUGCGUAGGGGUUCUGAGAGGAAGGUCCCCCACAUUGGAACUGAGACACGGUCCAAACUCCUACGGGAGGCAGCAG
rnacentral:rRNA from 1 species